UGGGGAAUAUUGCACAAUGGGCGCAAGCCUGAUGCAGCCAUGCCGCGUGUGUGAAGAAGGCCUUCGGGUUGUAAAGUACUUUCAGUCGGGAGGAAGGUGGUAAGGUUAAUAACCUUGGCAAUUGACGUUACCGACAGAAGAAGCACCGGCUAACUCCGUGCCAGCAGCCGCGGUAAUACGGAGGGUGCAAGCGUUAAUCGGAAUUACUGGGCGUAAAGCGCACGCAGGCGGUUGAUUGAGUCAGAUGUGAAAUCCCCGGGCUUAACCCGGGAAUUGCAUCUGAUACUGGUCAGCUAGAGUCUUGUAGAGGGGGGUAGAAUUCCAUGUGUAGCGGUGAAAUGCGUAGAGAUGUGGAGGAAUACCGGUGGCGAAGGCGGCCCCCUGGACGAAGACUGACGCUCAGGUGCGAAAGCGUGGGGAGCAAACAGG
rnacentral:rRNA from 1 species